UACGGGGGGGGCAAGCGUUGUUCGGAAUUACUGGGCGUAAAGGGUUCGUAGGUGGCUUGUUAAGUCAGACGUGAAAUCCCUCGGCUCAACCGGGGAACUGCGUCUGAGACUGAUGAGCUCGAGUGCAGGAGAGGAACGCGGAAUUCCAGGUGUAGCGGUGAAAUGCGUAGAUAUCUGGAGGAACACCGGUGGCGAAGGCGGUGGGCUGGGCCGGAACUGACGCUGAGACGCGAAAGCGUGGGGAGCGAACAGG
rnacentral:rRNA from 1 species